UUAGACGGAUAUAAGGGCGUAUGGAGGAUGCCUAGACACUAGAAGGCGAUGAAGGUCGUGGCGUGACUGCGAUAAACUUCGGGGAGCCGUCGAGCGGGCUUUGAUCCGGAGGUAACCGAAUGGGGCAACCCAAUAUGACAAACUCAUAUUAUCUCGCGUAAGCGAGAUGCGUACCUGGGGAAGUGAAACAUCUCAGUACCCAGAGGAAAAGAGAACGAAGUUAUCCCCUUAGUAGCGGCGAGCGAAAAGGGAACAGCCUAAACCGAUUUCAUAAUUUAUUAUGUCGUCGGGGUAAUAGGGAUAGUACAACUAAAAAUUUGAAUUUCGGUCUUCUUGAUCGAGAUUCAAGUUUUUAAAAGAAGUUACAAAUUCGUGCGUUAGCAGAAUGGCCCUGGAAUGGCCAACCAAAGAAGGUGACAGUCCUGUAAGCGAAAACAAACGAACUUCUGUAUUAUUUCCUGAGUAGCCCGGGAUAAGGAUGUCCUGGGUGAAUUUGUCCAUACUACUGGAUAAGGCUAAAUACUUCUAGUGAUCGAUAGUGAACCAGUACCGUGAGGGAAAGGUGAAAAGCACCCCGAUGAGGGGAGUGAAAUAGCAACUGAAACCAUAUGCCUACAAAGAGCAGGAGCCGUACUUUGCACAGAGAUCCUAAGUCCUAAACGAAUUGGAAAAUUGUUUAGAGUUUGGAAAUUAGAAUUUAGAGUUUCCGUGCAGGGUGCGGUGACUGUGUGCCUAUUGAAGAAUGACCCAACGAGUUUAUUUAAAUUACACUCUAAGUCCUUAUGGGACGAAGGGGAAGGGAAACCGAGUGUUAAUAGCGCGUCAUCCAACUUAAAUUUUUGGACUACGUAAGUUCAAAAAUUUAAGUUGGAUAUGUAGUUUGAGUAAGACCCGAAGCCAGGCGAGCUAACCAUGACCAGGAUGAAGGUUACCGAAAGGUAACUGGAGGUCCGAACCAGUUGGUAGCGCAAUACCAUUGGAUGAGUUGUGGUUCGUAGUGAAAAGCUUAUCGAGCUUGGUAAUAGCUGGUUCUCUCCGAAAUGCCUUUAGGGGCAGCGUUGCACAGUAGCAGAGGGGGUAGAGCACUGAAUGGUAAUCCGUGCCCUUUUGGGUAGGACUACCAAACAAACUCCGAAUACCUUUGUGGAAUGUGCGGCAGUGAGUAAGCGGGGGCAAAGCUUCGUUUACGCAAGGGAAACAGCCCAGAUCACCGCUUAAGGUCCCAAAAUUUAGACUAAGUGAAAAGGAAGUGUUUUGCCUUAGACAGGUAGGAGGUUGGCUUAGAAGCAGCCAUCCUUUAAAGAGUGCGUAAUAGCUCACUAUUCGAUCUCAUCGCAAGAUGAGGAGGCAAAGUGCGCCGAAAAUUUAUAGGGGCUAAGUCUAAUACCGAAAGCGUGGGUUCGGUGAUUUCAUAAAGGAAAGUUGUGGACAGAGAUAGUUCAAGGGAAGAACAUCUGGCCUCAUAAGCCAGAGAUACGUGGCUCAACUCCACGGCUCUGUCCCAUAAGUCGGGCGGGAACGACAAUCAAUUUCAUACAGAACCUGUCUGCCAGACACAGCGGGUUCCACGAUUGUUGUUUUCGUCCGACAACCUUUCAUCUCGUUCUUCGAGAUGUCCUUUAUGAAACCACCGAGCGGUAGGAGAGCAUUCUGAUCUGCUGUGAAGGUUCGCUGUGAAGCGGGCUGGAGCGGUCAGAAGGGAAAAUGUUGGGAUGAGUAACCGCAAGACCGGUUAAAGUCCGGUCCGUCGUAAGCCUAAGGUUUCCUCCGCGAUGGCAAUCAUCGGAGGGUUAGGCGUCCCUAAGGAUAACCGUGCUUUCGAGCGCGGGAUGCCGAUGGUGAGCCGGUUAAUAUUCCGGCCCCACUUAUGUAUAUCUGAUUGAGAUGACGGGCAACACAAGAUCAAGCACAUUAUUGGAUUUGAUGUUUUCCACCCAUAGACUUUCUACCAGGAAAAUCCGGUAGAGGCCGCAAGGCAAUGUCGAGGGUAGAAGAAAUCGUCGCAAGACGAGAUUUGAUCGAAGAGGGCUCCAAGAAAAGUCUCUAAUGUUAGUACAUGAGUGCACGUACCUAAAACCGAAACAGGUGGGCUGGUGUAAGUGCACCAAGACGAACGGGUGAUUAUUGGUUAAGGAACUCGGCAAAAAAGCGGCCGUAAGUUCGCGAUAAGGCCUGCCGCCGCAAGGCGGCCACAGCUAAAGAACCCCUGGCGACUGUUUAUCAAAAACACAACUCCGUGCUAAGCCGAAAGGCGCUGUAUACGGGGUGACGCUUGUCCGGUGCCGGAACGUUAACGGUGGAGGUGGUAUGUCGCAAGAUGUACUGCUGACGCCCGAAGCGCCGGUGAACGACGGCAGUAACUAUAACUGUCUAAAAGUAGCAAAAUACCUUGUGGGGUAAGUUCCCACGCGCAUGAAUAGCGGAACGACUGGGGGACUGUCUCAACCAAUAGCCCGGUGAAAAUGCAAUGUCGGUAAAGAU
rnacentral:ncRNA from 1 species